CCCUGAAACGCCGAGGCGGUUUCCACACACGUCCGUUUAUUUCGCCACCCCCACGCGCUCUUUUGAAACAGAUGAGGAUUACUAGUCUGCUUGGUUUUUACAAUCCCACAGCCUGAAGUUAGAAGCUAACGAUAUCCCCGGGGAGUGGCGGGCACGCUCCUGGCUUAAGGAGCCGCGGGAGGCGUACACUGGGGAGGCUUCUGCUGGGUUUAACCGCCGUGACCCAGAAAUUAUUAUGAAGAAACUGGUUCCUCUGUAACCCAAAUGAUAUGAAAGUUGUGGUGAGAGGUCCUCAAGAAUUCUAUUUACUUCAGGAAAUAAAAGUGGUGAGAACAACCCCCGUCCCCCUGGAAUGUGCUCCUGGUUAUACUCUCCUCCCGGAUUUCAUUACAAAAGGAACAGCAUCCCCUCUGUUGUCUGCCCCCAACCUUCGAGACCCACAGGGGUAACUGGACAAUUAGAGGAACUUACCUUCAAGGAGAGGGAUGGAGCAAUGUGGGAACUACCUGGACAUUAUGUGGCAUUACAUUUGAUAGAAAAUAAAGAAUGAAAUCCA